rnacentral:rRNA from 1 species
GGUUAAAAAGCUCGUAGUUGGAUCUCGGCGGUCUGAGGGCGGUUCGCUUGAUUGAGUGCUACUGCUCUAUAGGCCGUGGUUUUGCCAGAGGUCUCGGGGUGCUCUUAACCGAGUGUCCUGCGAUGCUGGCAGGUUUACUUUGAAAAAAUUAGAGUGCUCAAAGCAGGCUUUUACGCCUGAAUAUUCGUGCAUGGAAUAAUAGAAUAGGAAGUCGUUUCUAUUUUGUUGGUUUUCGGAAAUCGACUUAAUGAUUAAUAGGGACAGUCGGGGGCAUUUGUAUUCAAACGACAGAGGUGAAAUUCUUGGACCGUUUGAAGACAAACUACUGCGAAAGCAUUUGCCAAGAAUGUUUUCAUUAAUCAAGAACGAAAGUUAGAGGUUCGAAGGCGAUUAGAUACCGCCCUAGUUCUAACCAUAAACGAUGCCAGCUAGCGAUCUGCCGACGUUUUCUUUGUAGACUCGGCAGGAAGCUUCCGGGAAACCAAAGCAUUUGGGUUCCAGGGGAAGUAUGGUUGCAAAGCUGAAACUUAAAGGAAUUGACGGAAGGGCACCACCAGGAGUGGAGCCUGUGGCUUAAUUUGACUCAACACGGGAAAUCUCACCAGGCCCGGACACUGGAAGGAUUGACAGAUUGAUAGCUCUUUCUUGAU